UGCAGGACGGAGGCGCAAGGCGAGGAGCAAGCCCCUGAACCGGCACAAGUUCCCCACGCUCAGGAAGAUCAGGAGCAGCCUCAGGUUGAAAAACCAGCGGCAGUGGAAAAUGCUGAAGACCAGCGGGAGCUGCGUGAGGAACUUAUUGGUUACUUGACUGCACGGCUCGGCUUACGCAGCUAGUUCGUGAGCAGUAUGAGAUUUUGAUACUAAAGGGGCUCUCCUCUUCUUGUCCAGAUAUGG
rnacentral:lncRNA from 1 species